ACGGAGGGUCCAAGCGUUAUCCGGAAUCAUUGGGUUUAAAGGGUGCGCAGGCGGUUUUGUAAGUCAGUGGUGAAAUCCCUUCGCUCAACGAAGGAACUGCCAUUGAUACUGCAAAGCUUGAAUACAGUUGAAGUAGGCGGAAUGUGUAGUGUAGCGGUGAAAUGCUUAGAUAUUACACAGAACACCGAUAGCGAAGGCAGCUUACUAAACUGAGAUUGACGCUCAUGCACGAAAGCGUGGGGAGCGAACAGGA
rnacentral:rRNA from 1 species